rnacentral:rRNA from 1 species
GACGAACGCUGGCGGCGUGCUUAACACAUGCAAGUCGAACGGAAAGGCCUCAGCUUGCUGGGGUACUCGAGUGGCGAACGGGUGAGUAACUCGUGGGUGAUCUGCCUUGCACUCUGGGAUAAGCUUGGGAAACUGGGUCUAAUACCGGAUAUGAACUGCCUUUAGUGUGGUGGUUGGAAAGUUUUUUCGGUGCAAGAUGAGCUCGCGGCCUAUCAGCUUGUUGGUGGGGUAAUGGCCUACCAAGGCGUCGACGGGUAGCCGGCCUGAGAGGGUGUACGGCCACAUUGGGACUGAGAUACGGCCCAGACUCCUACGGGAGGCAGCAGUGGGGAAUAUUGCACAAGGGGCGGAAGCCUGAUGCAGCGACGCCGCGUGGGGGAUGACGGCCUUCGGGUUGUAAACUCCUUUCGACAGGGACGAAGCUUUUUGUGACGGUACCUGUAGAAGAAGCACCGGCUAACUACGUG